rnacentral:lncRNA from 1 species
AAACCGUAAUUACAACAUCGCAAACAGCGACGCCUGGAUCCGAAACGCCGAACUGCCGCGCCAGUGCCUUUCUCGGUGGGACACGUGACCCUCGCGCCAUCUUGAAUUCAGGCUGCCGACUAACUGCCUCGUCGACGCUCGGGAAGAAAGCUGUCGUGGCGAGCGUGGAUGGCGAGGAUGUUUUGGAAAAGCGGUUGCGACCUUUAACCGAAUGAAACUGAGAAUGAUUCGGGAGUAACCGCCCCCUUAGUUGGCGAAUAGGAUUCGUUUCACAUCUGCGAAUUCGAAUGAACAGAUUUACUCGCAAGAUUUUAAGAAAGGAACCUGAAGGAGGCAACAUUCGCGUUCAAUCGAAGAUGCCGCUGGUAGUCUUAUUUUGUAGAGAGCAUCUUAUCUGGCCUACGGUAUGCCAAAGUACACGAUUCCAUAGAAAACACAGAUAAACGAUCGGAGAUAUUUCGAAGAAGAAAAUAUGGAAUACACAAAUUGAGACGCAGUAAGUAGAAGCGGUUGCAUCGACUGGCAGGAACCCCGAGUCCCCGUUCCAAGCAACCAAGCAAGGACCCAACUUACCUACAGUGCUGAAUCGAUCGUGUUCUGCUCCUGCCUAUCUUACCAAUGAACGCUUCGCCUCUGCGAGCUGCAGGAUGCCCAGCUAAUUCUGCCGAUCGCGGACGCAGAUUUCGUUGUGCAAAACGAUGUUAUGGAUAUCCAAUUGGGAGGUAACUGCGAGCUGCAACCACACGGUACGUGACAAGAGACACGAGGCCCAGCAACCAAGAAGUCCGGUAGCAGCCAUCAGGAAUCCCAAUGCCACAAUAGCGAACGCCAAAUAGUAAAACAGAGGCUGUUCAGGGGUUGCAUCGCCUGGGCCCAAUAGACGCGACAGCAGGAUUCGCUCGUUGUCAGCCAGGAGAAGUGUCCCUAGAGAGAUCAGGAUGAAUCCUGAGAUCUGAAAUUGGAUGGGACUGGCCAACGUGAUCGAACGAAGGGGGAAUUUGAAUUUAUACGUGCUUCGAAUGGUGUAACACUCUGGAAUUUGGUCGUACCUGUUGAGUCUCGGAACUGAGGUGUUGCAGGGUGUGCGUCAGGUAUUGUCGAUGUUUCGGGACGAAUGCGUUCUGAUGUGACGAGUCCAAGAAACAGAGUGCAUCCAGCCCUCGGAAGGAUUGCGAGGUGCAUAAGAUAUGUGGGAAGUGAUUAUUCAAGUGCGUCGGUAAUGAAAUUUAUACUGUUCUGCUUUAUUAUGAAAAGAUACACCAUGGAAAUGUACAUGAUUUUGAAAAGAAAGGUUAUGAGUUGGACAAUAUUGAUUAUGAAGAUUUUCCUUGCUGGUAAAGAACCUUCUUAA